AACGCACGAGACCUGCGGACCUGCGGAGGGAUCAUUAGUGAACGCCCUCACGGGCUUAUAACUAUUCCAAACCUCUGUGAACCGUGCCCCUCGGGGCUAUUUUACAAACAUGGUGUAAUGAACGUCAUAUAUCAUAACAAAACAAAACUUUCAACAAUGGAUCUCU
rnacentral:misc_RNA from 1 species